AGCGAACGCUGGCGGCAGGCCUAACACAUGCAAGUCGAACGAACCUUUCGGGGUUAGUGGCGGACGGGUGAGUAACACGUGGGAACGUGCCUUUAGGUUCGGAAUAACUCAGGGAAACUUGUGCUAAUACCGAAUGUGCCCUUCGGGGGAAAGAUUAAUCGCCUUUAGAGCGGCCCGCGUCUGAUUAGCUAGUUGGUUGAGGUAAUGGCUCACCAAGGCGACGAUCAGUAGCUGGUCUGAGAGGAUGAUCAGCCACAUUGGGACUGAGACACGGCCCAAACUCCUACGGGAGGCAGCAGUGGGGAAUCUAGCGCAAUGGGCGAAAGCCUGACGCAGCCAUGCCGCGUGAAUGAUGAAGGUCUUAGGAUUGUAAAAUUCUUUCACCGGGGACGAUAAUGACGGUACCCGGAGAAGAAGCCCCGGCUAACUUCGUG
rnacentral:rRNA from 1 species